AUUGAACGCUGGCGGCAGGCUUAACACAUGCAAGUCGAGCGGGGACUUCGGUCCUAGCGGCGAACGGGUGAGGAAUGCUUGGGAAUCUGCCCAGUAGCGGGGGAUAACGUUUCGAAAGGGACGCUAAUGCCGCAUACGCCCUACGGGGGAAAGGGGGGGAUCUUCGGACCUCUCACUAUUGGAUGAGCCCAAGUCGGAUUAGCUAGUUGGGGGGGUAAAGGCCUACCAAGGCGACGAUCCGUAGCUGGUCUGAGAGGAUGAUCAGCCACACUGGAACUGAGACACGGUCCAGACUCCUACGGGAGGCAGCAGUGGGGAAUAUUGGACAAUGGGCGAAAGCCUGAUCCAGCCAUGCCGCGUGUGUGAAGAAGGCCUUCGGGUUGUAAAGCACUUUAAGCGAGGAGGAAUGGCUCUUGGUUAAUAACCUUGAGCAGUGACGUUACUCGCAGAAUAAGCACCGGCUAACUCUGUGCCAGCCGCCGCAGUAACAC
rnacentral:rRNA from 1 species